rnacentral:rRNA from 1 species
GACGAACGCUGGCGGCGUGCUUAACACAUGCAAGUCGAACGGAAAGGCCCUGCUUUUGUGGGGUGCUCGAGUGGCGAACGGGUGAGUAACACGUGAGUAACCUGCCCUUGACUUUGGGAUAACUUCAGGAAACUGGGGCUAAUACCGGAUAGGAGCUCCUGCCGCAUGGUGGGGGUUGGAAAGUUUCGGCGGUUGGGGAUGGACUCGCGGCUUAUCAGCUUGUUGGUGGGGUAGUGGCUUACCAAGGCUUUGACGGGUAGCCGGCCUGAGAGGGUGACCGGCCACAUUGGGACUGAGAUACGGCCCAGACUCCUACGGGAGGCAGCAGUGGGGAAUAUUGCACAAUGGGCGGAAGCCUGAUGCAGCAACGCCGCGUGCGGGAUGACGGCCUUCGGGUUGUAAACCGCUUUCGCCUGUGACGAAGCGUGAGUGACGGUAAUGGGUAAAGAAGCACCGGCUAACUACGUA